UUGUUGGUGGAGACCGCUACAGCAGGCUGGUGCAGACUGGUGGUGUUGGUGGGGACCGCUACAGCCAUCGGAAGGGAUUUGGCAGGAGGUGGAGCCUUCUUUGCUUGACUUUUACUGCCAAGGAUGGAAGGUUUGAUUUCACAGUCAUGGCCUCUUCCACUAGUUCACUGACUGAGCACUCCAUUAGGGCUUCUGAUGUCCUGGCCCGGAACAGCUGCUCAACGUGCUGCAGUAAAGAGAAUACAUCCGCAGAUGGCUGGUGAAGUGCGCCCUCUCUGUACUCCUUCAUCUGCAGCAGUGUGGCGUUGUCCGGUACAGCGUCGUCACUGUUCCUUAAGGCAGGCUUACAGGCCGAACACAAAGAGCCGCCUAGUACACCCUUGAUGACGUAUCCGGCCAGAUGGUAUAGCACACAGGACUCCGCUUUUGUGGAAAUGAUUCUGCUCCUACUGCAUGAGACUGCUGCUGUUGAUGGGGAAGUGCUUUUGCCAGAAAUGGCUUAGUUGCAGGUGGUGGCUUUCUUGAGUUGCACUGAUAAGGUAACCUAACUAACCUUUUGAGGACCCUUACAGUAAGUAAUAUUAUAUCUGUGUCUAACAUUUUGUAUUUCCGGUGAUUGAGGUCUUUAGCUGCAAAAUGUAUAGGACUUUGGUCAGACUAGUAGGGCCGGAUAUAUGUGCACAGCAACAUAGUUGUCUUUUUUUUGUUUCUAUACGCCAUCCCAAUGGAAUUCAAAUGAAACUACGGUAACAAGAGAAUAAAAGUGCCUUUCAAAACAUUCAAGGAUCAGAGAGAAGUAAUAAUAAAACGAAGACACAUUAACACAUUUUUAACAAAAAUAAAACGGUAGUUAAAAAGUCCUAAGGAAUAGGCUAACUGAAACAAAUGAGUUUUUAGUCUGCAUUUGAACUUGGGUAAUAAGUCAGGGGGCAGUGCAUUCCAGAGCUGAGGAGCAGAGCAACUGAAAAGCUCUAUUCCCCAUGGUACUGAGAUGGGCAGAGGGACAGAGAGGAGGAUGGUCGAGGACAAACCGAGGUAGCGAGAGGGAAUGGCAAGGCAAGAUUGUUGCAAGAUUGUGAAUGGCCUGGAAGGUGUGCAGGACAGGAGUAUUUUAAGAAGCACAGGGUAUUGAGCACUCAGAGACAUAGCCAAGGUAAGAAUGGAAGACGCCGAACAACCAUUCAACAAGUUAAUUGAGUCAAGACUGGGUCAUGAAAUACCAGAGGACAGUUUUCAAAGGUAUGGACUAGUGAAAGUGACUGUUGACAGACAGGGUGUCAAGACAAUGGUAUUUGUGUCGUAUUCGUGGGUAAGCGGUUAGGGUGUCAGACUUGUAGCCCAAAGGAUGCUGGUUCGACUCCGACCCGCCAGGUUGGUGCGGGGAGUAAUUAACCAGUGCUCUCCCCCAUCCUCCUCCCUGACUGAGGUACCCUGAUCAUGGUACCGUCCCGCCACACUGCGCCAUUGGGGACUGCCCCCUUGCAUGGAUGAGGCAGAAAUGCAAUUUUCUAGUGUGCAGUGUUCACUUGAAUUUUGUGGAGUACUGUGUCACAGUGAAUUUAAAUGUAUUACUUUAAUAAAUGUUAAUGACAAGUAGGAAUGGGCAGCAUAGUUGCAAUGCCUAGUCUUGCCACCCUUGUAAGAUCAGAUAACUAACUUUUAGUGUCUGUUUUCACCCUUGUAAGAUCAGAUAACUAACUUUUAGUGUCUGUUUUCACAGAAAUUUGUCUAGCGUGACACUUCUCCACAAUCCACAUGUAAACAGGCAUUUAAAAACAAUAUGGCCAUUGGUCUUGUCCUCUAGGUCCUCUAGGCCCAAGCUGUUAGGGCAGCACAGUACAAUAAAUUAAGUUGCCAAAAAAAAAACUUAAAAUAUUCCUCUGUGGUAUUAAAAAAAAUAUGCUUUCCAUGUAGAUGUGUGCAUUCUACUGUUCUCCACUUCUGUGAAGCAAUACUAUAGGAUGAGGGUGAAAAUGGUGUU